CACCUCCAUCUUCAGCAGCGAUCAUCCGAAUCCGCAGCCACUUCCCAGAGCCUAGAGAAAAAAAGACAAGAACACAAGGUGAGAGAAGGAAGGGAAUAGGAAAAGCUCAGUUUCCUUCUAAGACUUACCUGUUGGGUCAUUCCCAUUUCAUUUCGGGUCCUGCCGCUUCCUGGCAUUCCGGACCCCGGCCCCUAUGGGGAAAAAGACAUAAGCGUUAGCGCUUGCUGCAAUAAGACAAUGAACAUUAUUAUUAAGCUUGAACUUUUGAACUUGCUACAGAACUCUUACAGCGCCUUACCUGAAUAGUCAAGCUGAUUUGAACUCCCAUCAAACCUCAAUCCAGUGAAGUAACUGGGUUUCAACGCGCCCCUGCAUCAGAAGCAGGAUGGAGAACUCAUCCUUCCAGACCCUAAGGUGAGACUUCACGGGGAAUCGAGGAAGGGUAUCGUGGAGGGUUGGAAGGGAGUGGGAGGCUCGAGCAUUAUUCCGUCAGUGGGCAAUACUCCCUUUUCAUGCACAGGGGAAUAUUCCUGCGAGCCAGAGAGUCCAUCUUCAGAGCCCUGCGCUUCACCAUAGAAGAAGCAUCAGCACUCGAAGCCAGACCUGCGCCUCCGUGGGAAUCAGGUGAGCGUGACAGCCAGGGGUCUGCGGUGAUUGUCGGUUACCCACCCGACCCAUCUUGAAACACAGACCAAGGAGUCUAACACAUGCACGAGUCGGAGGGCCGUACAAAACCCUGUGGUGCAAGGAAGGACGGCGCCGGCUGGGGUGAUAUCCCGUCGCGAUGGUCGCACAACUGGCACGUCUCACCCACUCUGUUGGGGAGGUGGAGCAUGAGCGUGUGUGAUAGGACCCGAAAGAUGGUGAACUAGGCCUGGGCAGGGCAAAGCCAGAGGAAACUAAUCAAACCAUCUAGUAGCUGGUUCCCUCCGAAGUUUACCUCAGGAUAGCUGGCGCACGGGAAACCCCAGUUUUAUCUGGUAAAGUGAAUCAUUAGAGGUCUUGGGGCUGAAAUGAUCUCAACCUAUUCUCAAACUUUAAUGGGUCAGAAGCCUGACUCGCUGACAUGGAGUGGGCCACUUUUGGUAAGCAGAACUGACGCUGUGGGAUGAACCAAAUGCUGGGUUAAGGCGCCCGAUGCUGACGCUCACCAGAUCCCAGAAAAGGUGUUGGUUGAUGUGGCCAUGGAAGUCGAAAUCCGCUAAGGAGUGUGUAACAACUCAAUUGCCGAAUUGACUAGCCCUGAAAAUUGAUUGCGCUGGAGCGACGGGCCCAUACCCGGCCGGCGCCGAGUGCCGCAGGGGCUAAGCUGUGACGAGUGUGAGGGCCGCUGCGGUGCGCACAGAAGCCUGGGGCGAGAGCCCGGGUGGAGCUGCCGCAGGUUCAGAUCUUGGUGGUAGUAGCAAAUAUUCAAACGAGAACUUUGAAGGUCGAAGUGGAGAACGGUUCCAUGUGAAGAGCAGUUGAACAUGGGUCAGUCGGUCCUGAGAUAUGGUCGCGUGCCAUUCUGAAGGGACAGGCGAUGGCCUCCGUUGCCCUCAGCUGAUCAAAAGGACAGUCGGAUUCAGAUCCCCGAACCCGAGUGGAGGAGACGGGCACACUUGCGGCGUCUAGUGCGGUAAGGCAAACGAUCUCAGAGAAGCCGGCGAGAUCCCCAGGGAGAGUUCUGUUUUUUUUUGUGAAGGGCAGGAUGCCCUGGAAUGGGGUCACUCUGAGAGAGGGGCCCGAGCCUUGGAAAGCAUUGCAGUUCCAACGGCCUCCGCUGAGCACUCGCUGGUCCUUGAAAAUCCAGGGGAGAUGGUGUAAAUAUUACACCGGGCCAUACCUAUAACCGCAGUUCUCCAAGGUGAACCGCAGUUCUCCAAGGUGAACCGCCUCUGGCAUUUUGGAACAAUGUAGGUAAGGGAAGUUGGCAAGUCGGAUAUGUAACUUCGGGAAGGGCUGGGUCGGUGGGACGCAAAGCGUGGCUGGUGUGCGCCGUGUCAUGACAAAGCAUCUGCACUGCCCCCCUCGCCGGGCGGCAACGACUCUAGAUGCGAGCCAGGCCCUUACUGUGGAUCGCCCCAGCUGCGGUGGUCAUCUCUCUCCAUUCCCCUCCCUGGGUUCGGAGCCAGCGUUCUGCCCAGCCGACACCUAGCAGCUGACUUAGAACUGGUGUGGACCAGGGGAAUCUGACUGUUAAAUUAAAACAAAGCAUUGCAGAAGACCCACAGUGGGUGUUGACCAGAUGUGAUUUCUGCCCAGUGCUCUGAAUGUCAAAGUGAAGAAAUUCAAUGAUGCGCGGGUAAAUGGCGGGAACUAUGACUCUCUUAAGGUAGCCAAAAUGCCUCAUCAUCUAAUUAGUAACACGCAUGAAUGGAUGAACGAGAUUCCCACUGUCCCUACCUACUAUCUAGCGAAACCACAGCCAAGGGAACGGGGUUGGAAGAAUCAGCGGGGACAAAACACCCCUUUGAGAUUCACUCUAGUCUGGCACUGUGAAGAGACAUGAGGUGUAGGAUAAAUGAGAGGCCCUCUGGCCAACGGUAAAAUACCACUACUCAUCGUUUUUUCACUUACCAGGUGAGGCGGGGGCGAGCCCCCACGGGGCUAUCGCUUCUGGCUCCAAGCACCCGCUGGGUGCGGACCGCUCCGGGAACAGUGGCAGGUGGGGAGUUUGAGUCGGGCGGCACACCUGGCAAACGAUAACGCAGGUGUCAUAAAACAAGCUCAGGGAGGACAGCAACCUCCAGCGGAGCAGAAGGCCAAACCGCUUGCUUGAUCUCAAUUUUCAGUAUGAACACAGACCGUAAAAAGUAUCCUUCUAACUUUUUGGGUUUCAAGCAGGAGGUGUCAGAAAAGUUACCACUGGGAAGCGUUAUAGCGACGUCGCUUUCUGAUCCUUCAAUGUCGGUUCUUCCUAUCAUUGUGAAGCAGAAUUCACCAAGCGUUGGAUUGUUCACCCACCAAUAGGGAACAUGAGCUCGGUUUAGACCAUUGUGAGAAAGGUUAGUUUUACCCUACUGAUGAUGUGUUGUUGCAAUAGUAAUCCUACUCAGUACGAGAGGAACCGCAGGUUCAGACAGUUGGUGUAUGUUCUUGGCUGGGGAGCAAAUUGGGCGAAGCUACCAUCUAAGAGAUUAUGACUGAACACCUCGAAGUCAGAAUCCCCACUAAACUGUAAUGAUACCGCAGCGCUGUGGAGCCUCGGUUGGCCUAGGAUAGCCCGCCUCCGGGCCGGUGCGUAGAGCCGCUCGCCUCGGGACUCGAGUGUGGACAGAAGGGGGCUACCUCUCUCGCCGUAGUUCACCGCAUGUUCGUGGGGAAUCUGGUGCUAAAUCAUUCAUAGAUGACCUGAUUCUGGGUCAGGGUUUAGUAAGUAGCAGAGCAGCUACCUCGCUCCAAUCUAUUGAAAGUCAUUCUC
rnacentral:rRNA from 1 species